GGAUGCCUUCAGAUGAAGAUGUAAAACUCUUGGUUCCCCCAAUACCCAGUCUACCUGGACGCUGCCAUGCUUCACGCCAUGAUGAUAACGGACGAAACUUCUGAGACUCACAAACCUGAAGAUCUAUGUUCCAUCCCUGGAACCCACGGUGAGAGCAGAGAACUGACUCCUGAAAGCUGACCUCUGACCUCCACCAAUGCAUAUGAGGAAAAGAAGCCUGGAGCAGGCAGGUCGUCUGUAGGAGGCUGCCCACUCGUCCACACAUCCUACCAAUGCUGAAGAAAGAAAAGCCAUGGAAUGCCCAACCCUUCAGCGGCUGAUCCCAGAAACCCAGGCCGAGGGGACAAGUGGCUUGCCUCUCUGUGCCUCAGCUUCCUCUCGUCUAAUGCUGGAAUGAUUGCAGGCUCAGUCACUCAGGCUCUCAUCUUGCCUGAGACACACAGCUAUUCAAUGACCUCUGGUGCUCCU